rnacentral:rRNA from 1 species
AUCCUUUGUUGCCAGCGGUCCGGCCGGGAACUCAAAGGAGACUGCCAGUGAUAAACUGGAGGAAGGUGGGGAUGACGUCAAGUCAUCAUGGCCCUUACGACCAGGGCUACACACGUGCUACAAUGGCGCAUACAAAGAGAAGCGACCUCGCGAGAGCAAGCGGAUCUCAUAAAGUGCGUCGUAGUCCGGAUUGGAGUCUGCAACUCGACUCCAUGAAGUCGGAAUCGCUAGUAAUCGUGGAUCAGAAUGCCACGGUGAAUACGUUCCCGGGCCUUGUACACACCGCCCGUCACACCAUGGGAGUGGGUUGCAAAAGAAGUAGGUAGCUU